AUUGAACGCUGGCGGCAGGCCUAACACAUGCAAGUCGAGCGGAUGAAGGGAGCUUGCUCCUGGAUUCAGCGGCGGACGGGUGAGUAAUGCCUAGGAAUCUGCCUGGUAGUGGGGGAUAACGUCCGGAAACGGGCGCUAAUACCGCAUACGUCCUGAGGGAGAAAGUGGGGGAUCUUCGGACCUCACGCUAUCAGAUGAGCCUAGGUCGGAUUAGCUAGUUGGUGGGGUAAAGGCCUACCAAGGCGACGAUCCGUAACUGGUCUGAGAGGAUGAUCAGUCACACUGGAACUGAGACACGGUCCAGACUCCUACGGGAGGCAGCAGUGGGGAAUAUUGGACAAUGGGCGAAAGCCUGAUCCAGCCAUGCCGCGUGUGUGAAGAAGGUCUUCGGAUUGUAAAGCACUUUAAGUUGGGAGGAAGGGCAUUAAGUUAAUACCUUGCUGUUUUGACGUUACCAACAGAGUAAGCACCGGCUAACUUCGUG
rnacentral:rRNA from 1 species